rnacentral:rRNA from 1 species
GAUGAGCCCGCGUUGGAUUAGCUAGUUGGUGGGGUAAAGGCCUACCAAGGCGACGAUCCAUAGCUGGUCUGAGAGGAUGAUCAGCCACAUUGGGACUGAGACACGGCCCAAACUCCUACGGGAGGCAGCAGUGGGGAAUAUUGGACAAUGGGCGCAAGCCUGAUCCAGCCAUGCCGCGUGAGUGAUGAAGGUCUUAGGAUUGUAAAGCUCUUUCACCGGGGACGAUAAUGACGGUACCCGGAGAAGAAGCCCCGGCUAACUUCGUGCCAGCAGCCGCGGUAAUACGAAGGGGGCUAGCGUUGUUCGGAAUUACUGGGCGUAAAGCGCACGUAGGCGGAUAUUUAAGUCAGGGGUGAAAUCCCGGGGCUCAACCCCGGAACUGCCUUUGAUACUGGGUAUCUUGAGUGUGGUAGAGGUGAGUGGAAUUGCGAGUGUAGAGGUGAAAUUCGUAGAUAUUCGCAGGAACACCAGUGGCGAAGGCGGCUCACUGGACCACAACUGACGCUGAGGUGCGAAAGCGUGGGGAGCAAACAGGAUUAGA